rnacentral:rRNA from 1 species
UGGGGAAUAUUGCACAAUGGGCGCAAGCCUGAUGCAGCCAUGCCGCGUGUGUGAAGAAGGCCUUCGGGUUGUAAAGCACUUUCAGCGAGGAGGAAGGUGGUGGACUUAAUACGUUCAUCAAUUGACGUUACUCGCAGAAGAAGCACCGGCUAACUCCGUGCCAGCAGCCGCGGUAAUACGGAGGGUGCAAGCGUUAAUCGGAAUUACUGGGCGUAAAAGCGCACGCAGGCGGUUUGUUAAGUCAGAUGUGAAAUCCCCGGGCUCAACCUGGGAACUGCAUUUGAAACUGGCAAGCUAGAGUCUCGUAGAGGGGGGUAGAAUUCCAGGUGUAGCGGUGAAAUGCGUAGAGAUCUGGAGGAAUACCGGUGGCGAAGGCGGCCCCCUGGACGAAGACUGACGCUCAGGUGCGAAAGCGUGGGGAGCAAAACAGGAUUAGAUACCCUGGUAGUCCACGCUGUAAAACGAUGUCGAUUUUGGAGGUUGUGCCCUUGAGGCGUGGCUUCCGGAGCUAACGCGUUAAAUCGACCGCCUGGGGAGUACGGCCGCAAGGUUAAAAACUCAAAAUG